rnacentral:lncRNA from 1 species
GGUUUGUCUCUAUGAAGGUUGACUUCAUCCGACUAAAAAGUUACAAGAGCACAAUAGAAACAGAAGAAGAUGUCCAAAUAUUAUUUCCAUGGGGACAAAAUAAGUAACCGACAUCCAUUAAGCAAAAUCAAGACUAACAUGACAAGAGAACAAGAACAAAGGAUUUGUUUCUGCAAUUAAAAGUAAACGAGCUUCCAGUGGCUGCUCCUAAUCCCCUAUCCAGCCUCCACCCCUACCCUCCACCACAUUUCCCUGCCUCCAUCACAGAUAGCCAAUGCCAGCACUUUGCCUUCCCAGCAUGCUUUGUACUAAGUUAUGGGCCGGUGCCCUGGAGAAGAAAGUCAAGCUGAGGAGAAGUCUUCCCAGAGGAGUGAGUUAUUUCUCCAGUUUAAAAAACAAACUACACUA